GUCACUGUGGCGUAGUUCUUAGCGUGUUGGACUAGAAGUGCAGAGACCUGGGUUCAAAUCCCCAUGCAACCACU